AGGGUGUACGGUGAAUGCCCUGGCAUCAGAAGGCGAUGAAGGACGUAGCUAGCUGCGAUAAGCCCCGGGGAGCCGCAAGCAGGCCGUGAUCCGAGGAUGUCCGAAUGGGGAAACCCAGGCGAUGAAUGCCGCCUAUCCUCUGCUGAAUACAUAGGCAGUGAGAAGCCCACGCAGGGAAGUGAAACAUCUCAGUACCUGCAGGAAUAGAAAUCAAUCGAGAUUCCCCCAGUAGUGGCGAGCGAAAAGGGAACAGCCUAAACUGUGCCGAUGUCAAGCCCGUGUGCGUUGUCGGCGUAGUGUUGUAGGCCUUCAUUGGACGGUGAUACGGAGCCGUCGGCGAGUUACAAAUUAGGAUCGUAGCAGAAUAGUCUGGAAAGGCUGACCAUAGAAGGUGACAGUCCUGUAUGUAAAACGACCCUAACUCGUUGAAUGGAGGUCCUGAGUACCACGGGGCCCGAGAAACCUUGUGGGAAUCUGGGACGACCACGUUCCAAGGCUAAAUACUCUCUGAUGACCGAUAGUGAACCAGUACCGUGAGGGAAAGGUGAAAAGAACCCCGGUGAGGGGAGUGAAAUAGAACCUGAAACCGUACACCUACAAGCAGCGAAAGGGCUAUGCCCGCAAGGGAAUGCCUGAUCGUGUGCCUUUUGCUUAAUGAGCCUGCGAGUUAUUUAGCGUAGCAAGGUUAAGGCGAAGAGCCGGAGCCGUAGCGAAAGCGAGUCCGAAUUGGGCAUUGAGUUGCGCUGAAUAGACCCGAAGCGAAGUGAUCUACCCAUGGCCAAGGCGAAUCCGCCGUAACAGGCGGAGGAGGCCUGAACUGAUGUUAGUUGCAAAUGGCUCGGAUGAGCUGUGGGUAGGGGUGAAAGGCUAAUCAAACUUCGUGAUUGCUGGUUCUCCCCGAAAUAACUAGAGGGUUAGCCUCGUUUCAGCCGUGACGGAGGUAGAGCACUGAAUGAGCUAGGGGCGUUCCAACGCUACCGAACUCAAUCAAACUCCGAAUGCCGUUACUGGACGAACGGGAGUUAGACUACGAGUGCUAAGAUCCGUGGUCAAAAGGGAAAUAGCCCAGACCGUCAGCUAAGGUCCCUAAUCGUGAGCUAAGUGGAAAAGGUUGUAAGAUCGCUCAGACAGCCAGGAGGUUGGCUUAGAAGCAGCCAUCCUUUAAAGAGUGCGUAAUAGCUCACUGGUCGAGCGAUUUUGCGCCGAAAAUGUAACGGGGCUCAAGUUCACAACCGAAGCUACGGACUUGCAUCGCAAGAUGUGAGUGGUAGGGGAGCAUUCUCUGUGCGGUGAAGGUUGACCGACAAGGACAACUGGAGCGCAGAGAAGAGAUUAUGCAGGCAUAAGUAGCGAUAAACGAUGUGAGAAUCAUCGUCCCCGUAAGCCUAAGGUUUCCUGGCCUAUGUUCGUCAGGUCAGGGUGAGUCGGAUCCUAAGCCGAGGUCGACAGACGUAGGCGAUGGCAAACAGGUCAAUAUUCCUGUACCACCGUAUUGACGUUAUCAGCGAAGGGGGGACGCAGAAGGGUAGGCACCGCCGGGUCCCUGGAAUACCCGGUCCAAGCAUGUAGGCGGGAACUGUAGGCAAAUCCGCGGUUCCGUUAACGCCGAGAUGUGAUGGGGAGGCCGCAAGGCCAUAAACGGGCUGAUCCCACGCUGCCGAGAAAAGCCUCGUAGCGAGUCAGUACGAUGUCCGUACCGCAAACCGACACAGGUAGGUGGGUGGAAUACACCAAGGGGCGUGAGAGAACACUCCCUAAGGAACUAUGCAAUUUAGCCCCGUAACUUCGGGAGAAGGGGUGCCCUGCGUAAGUGAGGCCGUACAGGCCGAGCUGAACGGGGUUGCAAUAAAGUGGCUCUAGCGACUGUUUACCAAAAACACAGGACUCUGCAAACACGAUAGUGGAUGUAUAGGGUCUGACGCCUGCCCGGUGCUGGAAGGUUAACCGGAGGAGUUAGCCGCAAGGCAAAGCUUUGAAGGGAAGCCCCAGUAAACGGCGGCCGUAACUAUAACGGUCCUAAGGUAGCGAAAUUCCUUGUCGGGUAAGUUCCGACCUGCAUGAAUGGCGUAACGACUGGAGCGCUGUCUCAGGGAGUGACUCAGCGAAUUUGUUGUUCCGGUGAAGAAGCCGGGUGCCCGCAACUAGACGGAAAGACCCUGUGCACCUUUACUACACCUUGACAUUGGGUGUUGGAAGGAUCUGUGUAGGAUAGGUGGGAGGCUGUGAGACUUGGCCGCUAGGUCAGGUGGAGCCGACGUUGAAAUACCACCCUGAUUGUUCUGAUAUUCUAACCUGGCCCUGUGAUCCAGGGCAGAGACAGUGUCUGGCGGGUAGUUUGACUGGGGCGGUCGCCUCCCAAAAGGUAACGGAGGCGCCCAAAGGUUCCCUCAGG
rnacentral:rRNA from 1 species